rnacentral:rRNA from 1 species
GACGUAGGAGGCGAGCGUUGUCCGGAUUCAUUGGGCGUAAAGAGCUCGUAGGCGGUUGGGUAAGUCGGGUGUGAAAACUCCAGGCUCAACUUGGAGAUGCCACCCGAUACUGCUCUGACUUGGAGUUCGGUAGGGGAGUGGGGAAUUCCUGGUGUAGCGGUGAAAUGCGCAGAUAUCAGGAGGAACACCGGUGGCGAAAGGCGCCACUCUGGGGCC